rnacentral:rRNA from 1 species
AACGGGGGGGGCAAGCGUUAUUCGUCUUUACUGGGCGUAAAGGGUCCGUAGGCUGGCGUGAGCACUUAGCACGACACUUCACGAUCGCUCGUAUUUGUGCUUUAGUUGCAAUGUCCUAGAAUCCACUGGAGGUUUUAGUAUCUGCGAAGGAGGGGUGAAAUCCGUUGAUAGCGUUAGACACUAUCGAGGGCGAAGGCAAAUUACCACUUUGGAUAGACGCUGAGGGACGAAAGCGUGGGGAGCGAACGGGG